GCUUUGAUGAACUCCUCAGAUAGACCUCAAAACAGGUAAACAAAGAUAAAACAAAACAAAAUGCAGCAAAGGAAAAGUAAAACCUGCGCAAGCUGCUGCAACAUGACCAAGAGCUUUGAGCUCGUUGCAGCAGACUUUGUGCGCAGGUUUCUGCAACUAACUAAGAAAGAAACCAGCUGCAUUUCAUUUCCAAACUCAGAUUAAGGAACUAACCAUGUAACCAACCCAGACCAAACAAACAAAACUCAGCAAAACAUCAUGCAUAAAUUCUGGAAAACAUACGCGCAAAACUGGUUUGACAACCUGAAUCAUUUAUUUUCCAGCAAGCAUUAGAUCCUAAAUCAGGAACUCUAGCCCCCAAACAUGCGAACCCAGCAUCAAACUUC
rnacentral:lncRNA from 1 species